AUUGAACGCUGGCGGCAGGCCUAACACAUGCAAGUCGAGCGAGCGGCGGACGGGUGAGUAAUGUCUGGGGAACUGCCCGAUAGAGGGGGAUAACUACUGGAAACGGUAGCUAAUACCGCAUACUAUCGGAUGUACCCAGAUGGGAUUAGCUAGUAGGUGGGGUAAAGGCUCACCUAGGCGACGAUCCCUAGCUGGUCUGAGAGGAUGAUCAGCCACACUGGAACUGAGACACGGUCCAGACUCCUACGGGAGGCAGCAGUGGGGAAUAUUGCACAAUGGGCGCAAGCCUGAUGCAGCCAUGCCGCGUGUAUGAAGAAGGCCUUCGGGUUGUAAAGUACUUUCAGCGGGGAGGCGUUACUCGCAGAAGAAGCACCGGCUAACUCCGUGCCAGCAGCCGCGGUAAUUC
rnacentral:rRNA from 1 species